rnacentral:tRNA from 2 species
GGCCCCGUAGCUCAGUGGAUAGAGCAUCAGAUUCCUAAUCUGAGGGUCGCAGGUUCAAAUCCUGCCGGGGUCGCCA